ensembl:snRNA U6 U6 spliceosomal RNA
CUUGCUUUGGUAAUACAUACUAAAAUUAGAAUACUACUGAGAAGUUUAGUGUGGCCCCUGCUCAAGGAUGAAACACAAAUUCAUGAAGCAUUUUAUAUUUUU